rnacentral:misc_RNA from 1 species
GAUGAAGAACGUAGCGAAAUGCGAUAAGUAAUGUGAAUUGCAGAAUUCCGUGAAUCAUCGAAUCUUUGAACGCACAUUGCGCCCUCUGGUAUUCCGGGGGGCAUGCCUGUCCGAGCGUCAUUGCAACCCUCAAGCCCGGCUUGUGUGUUGGGCCCUCGUCCCCCGUGGACGUGCCCGAAAUGCAGUGGCGGCGUCGUGUUCCGGUGCCCGAGCGUAUGGGGCUUUGUCACCCGCUCUUGGAGGCCCGGCCGGCGCUGGCCGAUCAACUUCUAGGCCUUGUGCCUUAACCAGGUCGACCUCGGAUCAGGUAGGGAUACCCGCUGAACUUAAGCAUAUCAAUAAGCGGAGGA